GAAAGUGGAGAGAGGGAAGGGGAGAGGCAGAGAGGAGGAAGGGUGGAAGGAAUGAAGGGAGAGAGGGCUGGACCCUUCCACUGAACAUGGUCAAGGAAACAGCCCAGGAGCUGGCCUUCCCUGGGGCCCUUGGAGUCUGCUUCUCUUCCCACAGCAAAGACAGGAGCACUUAACAUGUGCUCCAGAAACCCUAAUUGAUUGACUGACUGACUGACCCACAGGCUCUGCUGGCAGGGUUGGAGCACAGCCUCCCAUUCCAUUGGCUGGGAAGGCCUGAAACUACUCUCAGACCCUCCCUCAAGGCCACACCAGGCCUCAGGAACCCAGAUGUUCCAGCUCCCAGGCCCACCGACCUGGCCACCGGCCUGGGACUGAGGGCAGAUCGGCCCGGGAACCCUGGACUGAGACCGAAAAACCGCAGCAGUAUAAUGAAAGAAAGACAGGGAGCCGGCAGAGACCCGGAGGAGGAAGACAGAGUCACGGAGAUCCUGGUCCCCCCACCCAGAUGAGGAAACCGAGGCCCAGAGAAGUCCACAAAGUCAGCCUGGACCCACUAGAGUCAACGAAGGAGCUCUCUGAGGAGCCGCCUUGACUCGUUUCUCCAGGACAUCUGGGCCUCUCCCCGCCCAGCACUGGAUGCCAGACAGGUCUCUGAGCUGGUGAGGGCCGAAGAAGCCAUGACAGAUGUACUGGGGCUGAAGUAGGGAGUGGUGGACAGUUCUCUCUCUUCUUGCAGAAGGCAUUUCCUCCUUUCCCCUCAUAUUCCUCUUGAGUCCUCUUCUCCAGGGCAUCAGGGAGACUUGCUCAAACUGGGCACUCUGCCUUCAGACUGACUGGCCCCCACCUGGCGAGCUCUUCCUCCUUCCUGGGCUCUCAGUUCAGCACCCACACCCAAAUUUGGGCACUCGCCUUCGGCUCUGCCGUGGGCCUCUCCUGGGUGACCAUCAUUGUCUGACCCAGAUGUCUCCUCUCUCCUGAGUCCAAGAGAUCGCCCGAUGUCUGCUGGGCACUUGGAGGUGGCAUCUCCAACUCAUCACAUCCCCGAGAAAAGUCAGCGUCUUUCCUCCAAUGCUCUCCACUUCUGGGGAGGGCCCUGCUAUGUCUGUCACGAGGGUGCCUGGAGUCUUCCUUCACCCUCCUCCUCCAUGGCCAGUGCCUCACCACUCUCCCCUUCUCUCUGCUGACACUCCCACCUUGCUCCCAAGCAGUGGCCUCUUCCUUCUCUUAUCCUUCCCUUCCCAGACAACCUUUCACUUUACUCAGGCCACCCAUGACUCCCCUACCUGAGACUGGAACUCUGCCCGACCCAGCCCUGGACUCUGACAGGCCAUGUUUGGCCAAAUGGCCUGGGCAUCUCUACUGCCAGCCACUUGGACCACCUCUACCCCCUCUUGGGAGUUCCUUGAGGCCAGGGAUUCUCUUUUCUUGCUCUAUUCUCCCCAGGAAGCCAACCUUCCUAAAGCACGGGUCUGAGCAUGGGCUGCCCGUUGCUUCUAGGGUAAUCUGUCCGGCAUUUGGAGCCUGUCUCUCCCAUCCCUGGCCUGUCUCCUGGCCCUUCCCUUCGGGCUCAAACACGGCCUCCCCCUUCACCUCUGCUGGCCCUAACCAGCCCUACUGGGCAUAACACUGUUUCCUUGGACCAGGGGCUCCCCAGCCUGAGAAUGAAUGGAUGCUCCACGAGGGCAGGGAGGGCUCGUUGCUUUUCUUUGGAAGUUGGUCAGUGUUUAAUGUUUACUGCACUGACUCCAGAGCUAGGAGCAAUGGGGGAAGGGGGAAGGUGGGGGUACUGGGCAUGAUCCGGGGCUGCAAAGCUCCCAGGCCGGGUCUCCGGAGGAUUCUGAGGCAGCUGCAAGUUGGAUUCCAGGCCUGCAAUACCUCCCAGCCUGACACUGUGUGGGACUUUUUUGCCCAAGGGCCGGUAACUAGGAAGGAGCCAAGGGCAGGAUUUGAAACCAGGUCCUGCCCUAGACCCAGGAACAAGGCAGCAGGCCUGAGCUCCAGCCUUUAUUGUUACACCUGUUGUCACCGAAAUAAAUAAUUCUGCAUACAUUCUUCAGUCAAAUUCGGGGAGUAGGCACAAGCAGGCGGUAAUACUGCUCCUGGAGGGGUGGGCAUAUAUUCACCCCAGCCCACAACCCGGUCUGACCAUUCCUCCCGAGGUCCAGACACCACUCCCCAGGCAGGGACAGACACCAGGCAUUCUUGCUUCUGCUUACUCAGAGGGCCUAAAGCUCCAAAAAGCUGGCUGAGGCCAGGGGG